GUCCAGAUGAAGUUUACGGCAAAUCAACAUACAGUUUCUUACAUAAAUAUGACCUUAAGAUCCUCGCUGAAGCUCAUUACAAAGACCUCCAUAACAAGCCCUGGACAACACCGGAAGUGAUAUUUCGGUUUCGCGCGAAAGCUGGGCACUAUGUUCCUAUAAAAUCUACAUCAGUUGUAUUUCGCAAUCCUUGGUCAAAGGAAGUUGAUUAUGUUGCCACAAGGAGUGUUGUUAUAAGGUUAGUUAAUUAUAAUUAAUUACUUCAUGAUUUUAGUCAGUUUGCUCUAUUCUUAUUUGUUAAAGACUGUGCCGAUUAAACAUUAAUCGGCACGGGUGCAUGUGCAUGCCGCGAUAGAGAUUAAUCGGGACGCAUAUACGAGCCCGCGUGAGUUCUGCACGCCCUUGCAGGGAUGUGCAUACAAAAUGUAAAUAAACAACGUGAAAAUUUCUAUUUUCUGAGAUCUUAUUAUACACCGAGCUCUUAUAUAAAAGAAGACGAAGGUGAAAUAAAAAUUAAUCACAGUUUUUACAUGCAGGUGUGAAUUGAAAAUUAAUAAAUUAUCAGAAAUUACUCUUACCGUUUAUAACAUGCAAUAUGGGACGUACUUGAGAGCAUAUUUUUAAUACACAAUGUUUGUUGUCAUUGAGCAUAGUGUAAAAUUGACUAAAAGAAUAUUAAUAGGAAAUUACACUUGUUAAUAUUCGAAGUAUUAAUGAAAAAUCGCAAAUUGAACCACUGGAGCGGGUGUCUUUUCUAUAUAUUAAAAAUAAGUAUUAAUCAAUCAAUGAUUGAAUUCGGUUUUCGCAGGAUUCGGCUUUGGUUCAUGACGCAAACGUCCUACUUGACAAUUCCUCAUAUGUAAUGCUCAACCAUCGUGCAAUUUCUAAAUUACAUUUGCCCAGUUUUUGUAACUUUUUUCCUACCUGCGCAGGCCAUACCGCCCGUAAUGAGUAUGUCCGUUCGCAGGUUGAAAUUUGAGACGAAGCCUUGCGUUGCUGUAAGGCCUGCUGAAUAUAAGCCUAUUAAGCCAAGUAAUCGACACGUUAGUGUCGUUAGUGUGGAUUCGAUCAAAUUUUUUCACAAAUAUGGCACAUCGUCUGCCAAUCUUUACCAAUCCUGUUUUGUGAGUAUUUUCUAAAUAAAUCUUGGCAGUUAAGGCGGAUAAAAGCGAAGAGAAGCUUCAAAGAAUGGAAGGUUUUACAAGCAGAAGCGACCGUGAUAUAGACGUUGUGAAUCUUUCAUUUGGCCAAAUGGGAUGUUUUGACUAUAUACACACGCAUUUAAAUAGUUACACUGUGUGAAAGACAAAUAUAAAUGGAAUAAAUUUCCCGGAUAAACCGCAUGCCUGACAUACGACGUGUUAUAUUAAAACCUAUUUGUCUGUUUUAGAAUUUAGUAUGUAAAUUAAUUGAUAUUUAUCUGCUUCUGUUUAUAAAUCAAUGUAUGCUUGUUUGUUCAGUAUUCACUAUUUUUCUGAAGUACUUAAAGACUUUAAUAAUAAUAUUGAUCUGGUAUAAAUGAUAUAUCAAUAUAAUUUGGCUUGUGGCUUCCGCGAUCUUGGAAAAUUAGUCCUCAGGUCUUUCCGUUCGUUUCCCACCAAUUUUGAAAGGGCUAGCUCUGCGGAGGAGGUAGACUUUUUUCUAUGUUUUUGGUGUUCCUGUAUCUUUUUCAAAUUUUCUCAGCUAUUCUUUUUGCCCAAAACUUGUCAAGACAAGUGCAUUUUAAUAUAUCCCACUUAUAUUAUAUUAUAAUUUAAGUGAGACGUGGAUAACAUGCAAUUUGAUUCGCUAAUGUGUGUGAAUUAUAACCAAUAUUACUGCACUGGGGUCUGUGGCACUGCAUUGGUUUUUCUGUGCAUUUUUUUCCCCGUUUCGGCUCUGCUUUUUAUCCAAAAAUAUACACAAAACUAUAACAUUUUUGAAGGAAGAAAAAAUAGACCGAAGGAUUCUAUGUAAAGUUAUUUAGGUGUAAAAUUAGCCAGCUUGGGAUUCGUGUUUUUGUCUUGACAAUUUUGGCAAAAGCAAAGUGGCGCAGAAAAACUUAAAAAAGAUCCAGGAAUACAAAAAAACAUAGAAAAAAGCUACAUAAAUUGAACAAAUGUGAUAUAGAAAGUACCUUCAAUGCUUCUGAAGCAUUGAAAAUGCAUGUUAACAAAUUAGUUUGUGUAUCGAUGUUUAUUUUAUUUUCCAGUAUUUUGAACAGUUUUUCGCAACUUCAACAUUAAAAUUUUGUAUUGUUUUUGCUCGUUGGCCCGUCAAAAAAGUCAAGCUGAUAGCUUGUUGCAUGUUGCUAAGCGACAAGUAAAAGCAUGCGUGUGAUGUCACUGAUUACAUGUUAGGAGAAAUUCAAAGUCAAUCUUUUGAAUAAAAUUGUUUUUGAAGCCAUUUAAAAAACUCGCAGGUCGUGUUUUAUAGUUUGCAUAACAAUGGUCUUUUGUUAAACUGUUCUUUAGCUGGUAUAAAGACGUAUGCACGUGACUAAUUUCUUACUCAAGAUUGGAUAAUUGCUUCAUGAAUUAUUAAUAAGUUUUUGAAGACGUAAUAUCACUUUCCUGUUUCUCAAAUAAUUUCUAUUCAUGUAUCACCAUGAUGUCGGGCAAUUUCCAUCAAUAAUACUAGAAGGGUCUUGUAGAUGAAAAUUGUCGAGUGGAAAUUUAUAUACAUUUAUCAGACCUAACAAGGAACAGCUUCGCAAGAUGCGACCAUUAUUAUUCAAUUUGUAAUUCAUAAUUGCUCUUGUUUUAUCUAGUUCCUUUUCACCAAACAUGUUAUUCAGUGCAAUGCAAAAAGGGACAGAAAACAUGGUAAGAACACA